UGGGGAAUCUUGGACAAUGGGCGCAAGCCUGAUCCAGCCAUGCCGCGUGAGUGAAGAAGGCCUUCGGGUUGUAAAGCUCUUUUACCAGGGACGAUAAUGACGGUACCUGGAGAAUAAGCCCCGGCAAACUUCGUGCCAGCAGCCGCGGUAAUACGAAGGGGGCUAGCGUUGUUCGGAAUUACUGGGCGUAAAGCGCACGUAGGCGGAUUGUUAAGUCAGAGGUGAAAUCCCGGAGCUCAACUUCGGAACUGCCUUUGAUACUGGCAAUCUAGAGUCCGGAAGAGGUGAGUGGAAUUCCUAGUGUAGAGGUGAAAUUCGUAGAUAUUAGGAAGAACACCAGUGGCGAAGGCGGCUCACUGGUCCGGUACUGACGCUGAGGUGCGAAAGCGUGGGGAGCAAACAGGAUUAGAUACCCUUGUAGUCCCUGAGCGGGCUGGCAAGGCGCAU
rnacentral:rRNA from 1 species